rnacentral:rRNA from 1 species
UACGGGGGGGGCAAGCGUUGUUCGGAAUUACUGGGCGUAAAGGGCUCGUAGGUGGCCAACUAAGUCAGACGUGAAAUCCCUCAGCUUAACUGGGGAACUGCGUCUGAUACUGGAUGGCUUGAGAUUGGGAGAGGGAUGCGGAAUUCCUGGUGUAGCGGUGAAAUGCGCAGAUAUCAGGAGGAACACCGGUGGCGAAGGCGGUUCUCUGGGCAUUACCUGACGCUGAGGAGCGAAAGUGUGGGGAGCGAACAGG